ACAUUCCAAGAUACUCUAGAAGAAUUAGCAUGUGCUUAUAUGAUAAUAUGCACAAAUAACACAAUUUAUGACCUAUCCCAACCACAAAGUGACAAAUUAACACUUAGCAUUAUAAUUACCCAAAGGAUGGGAACUCCCAAUGCUGGGAAAUUUCAGGUAGACUUGUAGGAAGACAAUAUUUUGAACAGUGGUUGUGGCUUUCAAUGUUCUUUGGGUCAUUUGAGGGGUUGCUGAUGCAUUAGAAGAAGUAAUACACAACACUGUACCACAAGCCGAUGGUCCAGUUGUCAUAUAAACAGGUUUUGCUGUCAUCAAACUGACCUAAUACUGGGAGGACAAUGAACACUUGGUCUAAAUGGAAGAAGCAGAAAAAUAAACACUAUCGUGUCAAGAACAAUCAAUCAACCUUUUGAACAUCUUCUAGAGUGAUUUGACUGGUGCACCAGCAAGUUAGAUAAACUUUGAGUCACCCAACUAGCAAUGAUCACACUUAUGUUCCUUGUGACAUUAGUGCUAGUGCACAGCCAAGCAUACAGGAAGACAGAGCACUGUCUCACAACCUGUGGAUUUGAUUUCUGAGAGGUCAUGACAA
ensembl:lncRNA novel transcript, antisense to C10orf11